UCUCCGUGUUUAGGUUGCCCAAGUCUAAGCUAACUGGGAACACUGACUGUUCUAAACUGAAACCAGAUGUUCAUUUUGAUGUGAAAGACAGAAGGUUCCAUUUAGUAGUAUAUGAGGAAUGGUUAAAUUUGUGCAAGAGUCAAGGUCAACAUCAACAAUGGUUCCUGAAGGGGUCAGAAAACACAUAUCCUCUGUGAACCCUUUCCUGGUUGUGGCUAAAGCCAGCUUGGCCUCCCAAAGCUUCUCCGACAUCUCGGGUCCACUUGCAGCUGCAGCACCAGAGAGCAACAUCUGUUCAUGUGGCCACCCCUGCCUGCUGCAGCCUGUCCCGAACCUUCUCUGGCUCUUCCCUCGGCAUCGGAGCCCUUCUGUGUGUUUGUGCGGGCAGAGGAAAGGUGCAGAAAGGCAUGUGUCACCUGUUCACGGUGGUUCUCUUGAGCAGUGGGAUUGGAGGGGCAGAUGGAGACGAUCGACUUUUCCUGUACCCACCUCUGUGUUGCCGGACUUGUUACAACCAGCAUCUACAACGUAUGCCAUUUUAAAAAAUGCAAUAAAAUUAAAA